CCCCCCCCCAUGGCAGCAGUACAUUAAAACAUGGAUUGGACAUUGACUAAUAAUUAGCACUAAACUGAGGAGGUAGACUGCAGCAUGGAGCCCCCCCACGUUCACCCACACCGUCUGACCCCUGCGCCAGAUGUGUCCCAGUCGUGACAGGGCCUGCAAUCCAAAAACACAGCCAAAGAGUGGUGCUGGCUUCAAGUUUUUCAGGUGUAAAUAGGUUUGGAUUUCCUCUCACAGAACACACCUUAGCAAAGCAUUUCUUGUCCUGUGUCAGCAGCACAGCCCUGCCUGUCCCUGGUGUGCAGAUCCG